CACCGGCAGCUCAAGUGGUAGCCAUUUUUAUUGGGCCUAAAGCGUUCGUAGCCGGUUUGAUAAGUCUCUGGUGAAAUCCUAUGGCUUAACUGUGGGAAUUGCUGGAGAUACUAUUAGACUUGAGGUCGGGAGAGGUAAGAGGUACUACAGGGGUAGGAGUGAAAUCUUGUAAUCCCUGUGGGACCACCUGUGGCGAAGGCGGCUAACUGGAACGAACCUGACGGUGAGGGACGAAAGCCAGGGGC
rnacentral:rRNA from 1 species